AGCGUACACGGUGGAUGCCCUGGCAGUCAGAGGCGAUGAAGGACGUGCUAAUCUGCGAUAAGCGUCGGUGAGGUGAUAUGAACCGUUAUAACCGGCGAUUUCCGAAUGGGGAAACCCAGUGUGUUUCGACACACUAUCAUUAACUGAAUCCAUAGGUUAAUGAGGCGAACCGGGGGAACUGAAACAUCUAAGUACCCCGAGGAAAAGAAAUCAACCGAGAUUCCCCCAGUAGCGGCGAGCGAACGGGGAGGAGCCCAGAGCCUGAAUCAGUGUGUGUGUUAGUGGAAGCGUCUGGAAAGGCGCGCGAUACAGGGUGACAGCCCCGUACACAAAAAUGCACAUACUGUGAGCUCGAUGAGUAGGGCGGGACACGUGGUAUCCUGUCUGAAUAUGGGGGGACCAUCCUCCAAGGCUAAAUACUCCUGACUGACCGAUAGUGAACCAGUACCGUGAGGGAAAGGCGAAAAGAACCCCGGCGAGGGGAGUGAAAAAGAACCUGAAACCGUGUACGUACAAGCAGUGGGAGCCUCUUAAUGGGGUGACUGCGUACCUUUUGUAUAAUGGGUCAGCGACUUAUAUUCUGUAGCAAGGUUAACCGAAUAGGGGAGCCGAAGGGAAACCGAGUCUUAACUGGGCGUUAAGUUGCAGGGUAUAGACCCGAAACCCGGUGAUCUAGCCAUGGGCAGGUUGAAGGUUGGGUAACACUAACUGGAGGACCGAACCGACUAAUGUUGAAAAAUUAGCGGAUGACUUGUGGCUGGGGGUGAAAGGCCAAUCAAACCGGGAGAUAGCUGGUUCUCCCCGAAAGCUAUUUAGGUAGCGCCUCGUGAAUUCAUCUCCGGGGGUAGAGCACUGUUUCGGCAAGGGGGUCAUCCCGACUUACCAACCCGAUGCAAACUGCGAAUACCGGAGAAUGUUAUCACGGGAGACACACGGCGGGUGCUAACGUCCGUCGUGAAGAGGGAAACAACCCAGACCGCCAGCUAAGGUCCCAAAGUCAUGGUUAAGUGGGAAACGAUGUGGGAAGGCCCAGACAGCCAGGAUGUUGGCUUAGAAGCAGCCAUCAUUUAAAGAAAGCGUAAUAGCUCACUGGUCGAGUCGGCCUGCGCGGAAGAUGUAACGGGGCUAAACCAUGCACCGAAGCUGCGGCAGCGACGCUUAUGCGUUGUUGGGUAGGGGAGCGUUCUGUAAGCCUGUGAAGGUGUGCUGUGAGGCAUGCUGGAGGUAUCAGAAGUGCGAAUGCUGACAUAAGUAACGAUAAAGCGGGUGAAAAGCCCGCUCGCCGGAAGACCAAGGGUUCCUGUCCAACGUUAAUCGGGGCAGGGUGAGUCGACCCCUAAGGCGAGGCCGAAAGGCGUAGUCGAUGGGAAACAGGUUAAUAUUCCUGUACUUGGUGUUACUGCGAAGGGGGGACGGAGAAGGCUAUGUUGGCCGGGCGACGGUUGUCCCGGUUUAAGCGUGUAGGCUGGUUUUCCAGGCAAAUCCGGAAAAUCAAGGCUGAGGCGUGAUGACGAGGCACUACGGUGCUGAAGCAACAAAUGCCCUGCUUCCAGGAAAAGCCUCUAAGCAUCAGGUAACAUUAAAUCGUACCCCAAACCGACACAGGUGGUCAGGUAGAGAAUACCAAGGCGCUUGAGAGAACUCGGGUGAAGGAACUAGGCAAAAUGGUGCCGUAACUUCGGGAGAAGGCACGCUGAUAUGUAGGUGAAGCGACUUGCUCGUGGAGCUGAAAUCAGUCGAAGAUACCAGCUGGCUGCAACUGUUUAUUAAAAACACAGCACUGUGCAAACACGAAAGUGGACGUAUACGGUGUGACGCCUGCCCGGUGCCGGAAGGUUAAUUGAUGGGGUUAGCGGCAACGCGAAGCUCUUGAUCGAAGCCCCGGUAAACGGCGGCCGUAACUAUAACGGUCCUAAGGUAGCGAAAUUCCUUGUCGGGUAAGUUCCGACCUGCACGAAUGGCGUAAUGAUGGCCAGGCUGUCUCCACCCGAGACUCAGUGAAAUUGAACUCGCUGUGAAGAUGCAGUGUACCCGCGGCAAGACGGAAAGACCCCGUGAACCUUUACUAUAGCUUGACACUGAACAUUGAGCCUUGAUGUGUAGGAUAGGUGGGAGGCUUUGAAGUGUGGACGCCAGUCUGCAUGGAGCCGACCUUGAAAUACCACCCUUUAAUGUUUGAUGUUCUAACGUGGGCCCGUAAUCCGGGUUGCGGACAGUGUCUGGUGGGUAGUUUGACUGGGGCGGUCUCCUCCUAAAGAGUAACGGAGGAGCACGAAGGUUGGCUAAUCCUGGUCGGACAUCAGGAGGUUAGUGCAAUGGCAUAAGCCAGCUUGACUGCGAGCGUGACGGCGCGAGCAGGUGCGAAAGCAGGUCAUAGUGAUCCGGUGGUUCUGAAUGGAAGGGCCAUCGCUCAACGGAUAAAAGGUACUCCGGGGAUAACAGGCUGAUACCGCCCAAGAGUUCAUAUCGACGGCGGUGUUUGGCACCUCGAUGUCGGCUCAUCACAUCCUGGGGCUGAAGUAGGUCCCAAGGGUAUGGCUGUUCGCCAUUUAAAGUGGUACGCGAGCUGGGUUUAGAACGUCGUGAGACAGUUCGGUCCCUAUCUGCCGUGGGCGCUGGAGAACUGAGGGGGGCUGCUCCUAGUACGAGAGGACCGGAGUGGACGCAUCACUGGUGUUCGGGUUGUCAUGCCAAUGGCACUGCCCGGUAGCUAAAUGCGGAAGAGAUAAGUGCUGAAAGCAUCUAAGCACGAAACUUGCCCCGAGAUGAGUUCUCCCUGACUCCUUGA
rnacentral:rRNA from 1 species